rnacentral:misc_RNA from 1 species
AAUACUUGAGGCUAAACAAUAACACUCUCUAUGGACCAAUUCCUUCCUCUUUGGCUAACAUGACGCAGCUUUCCUUCCUGUAAUUCACUUCAACUUUACCUUUCAGAAUUAUGUAUAAUUUUCUGCUGAUAAAAAUUACUUGAGAUCUAAGUGGAUUUCAUUUAAUGUUCCAGGGACUUGUCUUAUAACAAUCUGACUGGUCCUGUACCUAGUUUUCAUGCUAA